rnacentral:tRNA from 1 species
GAGGGCUCAGCAGUUAAGAGCACUGGCUGCUCUUCCAGAGGUCCUGAGUUCAAUUCUCAGCAACCUCA